rnacentral:rRNA from 1 species
UACGUAGGGACCAAGCGUUGUUCGGAUUUACUGGGCGUAAAGGGCGCGUAGGCGGCGUGGUAAGUCAAUUGUGAAAUCUCCGAGCUUAACUCGGAACGGUCAGUUGAUACUGCUGUGCUAGAGUACAGAAGGGGCAAUCGGAAUUCUUGGUGUAGCGGUGAAAUGCGUAGAUAUCAAGAGGAACACCUGAGGUGAAGACGGGUUGCUGGGCUGAUACUGACGCUGAGGCGCGAAAGCUAGGGUAGCAAACGGG